GAAAUCGGGCUUCGUUGUCGAAUUAUUAAUCUCUUUCAGAAACAAAAGAAAAAAAAAUUAAAAUCCAUUCUGUUCUUCCCAAUUUUCUUUCUAGUUUAUCAAAAGAAAUCUCAUCAUAAACUUUGGUGGUCUUUUCUUUUCGAACAAAAUAGUUACAAACGACUAUGAUUCAUCGUAACACGUUGUCGACGAUGGGGGCAGCUCAGUUCAUUACAUGUGUACAGAAGCUAGAGAAUGAAAUCGAUACCUGUUGAGAACAGAAAACGGGUAGCCAUUUGUGUGGCGUCAUCGAAUUUGAUUGAUGCACCGUAUUUACUUCGUUGGAUCAGCAUAUUCCACAUAGAAAAGCAGUUAUGCACCAUCACAUCUAUCGGCGACGUCGGGAUUUUCCUUCUCUAGCGAAAGAACGUUUUUUUUUUUACUUCUUAAGACAGAGAAUAUAUAAAAAAUGACAUUCCAAUUUCUUGGACCAACGCAGAGAAAAUGCUCGGCUAUCCGAGCAGAGGAUCGCAACUGAAAGGGGGAAAAAACAUGCGGGGAAUGUCACAUUUAGAGAAAAAAGAGCGGGAAUUUUUAUUUCUUUCGAUGAUAUGGAAGUCACAAAAACACAUUUUUUCCCAUGGAC